AAGCGCGCGUAGGUGGUUUGUUAAGUUGGAUGUGAAAGCCCCGGGCUCAACCUGGGAACUGCAUCCAAAACUGGCAAGCUAGAGUAUGGUAGAGGGUGGUGGAAUUUCCUGUGUAGCGGUGAAAUGCGUAGAUAUAGGAAGGAACACCAGUGGCGAAGGCGACCACCUGGACUGAUACUGACACUGAGGUGCGAAAGCGUGGGGAGCAAACAGGAUUAGAUACCCCUUGU
rnacentral:rRNA from 1 species